rnacentral:rRNA from 1 species
AAUCAACGCUGGCGGCGUGCCUCAGACAUGCAAGUCGAACGAUUAAACUUUCCUUCGGGAAAGAUAUAAAGUGGCGCACGGGUGAGUAACACGUAGGUAAUGUACCUUUGGGUGGGGAAUAACCAUCGGAAACGAUGGCUAAUACCGCAUAAUGCAGCGGCAUCGCAAGAUGACAGUUGUUAAAGAUUUAUCGCCUAAAGAGCAGCCUGCGGCAGAUUAGGUAGUGGUAAGGUAAUGGCUUACCAAGCCUGCGAUCUGUAACCGACCUGAGAGGGUGGUCGGUCACACUGACACUGAAUAACGGGUCAGACUCCUACGGGAGGCAGCAGUCGGGAAUUUGGGCAAUGGGCGAAAGCCUGACCCAGCAACGCCGCGUGAA